rnacentral:misc_RNA from 1 species
AAAAUCAAAGCCACCCAACAGCGAGCCCUGGCUGUCGUAACCCCGCGCAUUAUUGCGAGAUCUUUGUCCUGCGAUGGCGAGGUGGAGAACGCGAUUCGACAUCUUCGCAACGCUGAUCCACUGCUUGCCUCUUUAAUUGAUCUCCACCCUCCCCCUACUUUCGAUACUUUCCACACUCCAUUCCUUGCCUUGACUCGAAGCAUUCUCUAUCAGCAGCUUGCUUUUAAAGCCGGUACUUCAAUCUACACUCGUUUUAUCGCUCUGUGUGGCGGAGAGGUUGGUGUCCUCCCGGAGACAGUUCUUGCUUUGACACCCCAACAGCUGCGACAAAUUGGGGUGUCGGGGCGUAAAGCUGGUUAUCUUCA